UAACGAAAAAUUAUCUUUAAAAAUUAACAUUCAUUUCUUACUUUUUAUUUUCAGUUUAUCAACAACUAUAUUCGAAACGACGACUUCAUUUAUGACAGGUCAGAAGAAUAAUCAUCAAUCUUCAGAUUAUCCACAAACUCAUCUGCCAGUUCCCACACCGCCAAAAACUAAGGAAUUUCCGAAAGUACCAACAAUACACUCUGAUGCUUCAAAAAAUGCUGCUCUUAUCAUUGCUAUAAUAGCAGGAGCACUUAUUGCUAUUGUUUUGAUAAUAUUACUGAUUUUAAAGUUCAAAAAUCGCCCAGAAAAUAAUUUUAAAAUUGACAAGACGAAAAUCUUUAAUCAUGAUCCUAAUUCCGCUCUUUUAAGUGCAACGAAUAACGAUCAACAAUUUGACUGUGCUCCAAAACUUGAAUCAAAUGUUAGCAAAAAUGGAAGAAAACGAGAACUCAAAGAUAUCAAAGAAUGAAUGUUGAUCUCUAAACAUCACGUGGAUGUGGUUAAAGGUACAACAAAUGAUAGUUACACAUACGGAUCCGUAAACUUACACUCUUAAAUGAAAGUAGCGGGGAAUUCAUAAUUUGAAUUUGAAAAAGUCGCACGUUUGCGGAGCUGCACAUCUACGGAGUCGUACAUAUACUGAGCCGUAUUCACUGUGAAUCUAAGUGUUUCAACAAAACACUCAUAUAGAGUUUUGUUCCUAUCUAGAAACAUUUUCAUCACUCUUAAAACAUUUCCAUGUAAUUUAAUUUCCCAUGUUAAAUGCCCAUUUGUAGUUACUUUUAAAACACUUCGACUUACAGUGUAUAUACGACAAAAUAAAUUUUUUAAGGCAUUGAAAAGGGAUAAUCGAUAAGCACUAUUUACUUGCUAAGGUGAUCAAAAUGUACAUUUAAAGAUAACUACAAAAUUGUUUUUUAAAAAGCACUCAGCUCCACUGGGGGCAAUGAUGGUUGCUGAAUUUGUUUCAUGCAAAAGUAGUAAUAACAAAGUCGAAGUCGAGUACCCGGAACCAUGGAAAGCGACUUCUCACGUUUAAUUGUUGGUCAACGGUCAAGUUGUCUCUUAUGAUGACUGUACUAUAAGACGUUAUUUAGCAAGGACUUUCGACGAAAGCUUAUACGGAGGAACUGGAAUUAUAGAAAACAGUCAAGUAGACAAUUGAUUGUCUUACAUUUGUGAUCCUUUGAAGAACCCUAAUAAUCUUACUACUUUAAAGGAGCUUCUGAACACUAGUAUGUCCAAGAACUGGUUGGUGAUCGAGCAAGUGACUUUGACAGAUAUUUACGUGUUUGCAAGCUUAAUUAAUCUUAAUUACAUACCAGAACCUUAGUAUACUGAGUUGGUUCGUUGGUUUGAAAAGAUUAGCACCUUGAAAUAUGUGUCUAAAGUAGUGAUGUAAAGUAAAGCAUGUGCUCGUCAAAUGCUCGUCAUUUGACGUCAAUUGACCAACUGAAAGAAAUGACCGCCGGUCAUUUUUCGAAUUGAAUGGCGAUUCAAUUUAAAAGCUAAAUUAAAAAAAUUUUAAAACUUGACCAAAAAAUAAUCGAAAAAUUUUUGACGGUCAUUUUCCAUCUAAGUAGUUGAGCAAGCCAGAUUUUUUUUACGACCGUCAGAAUUUUUAGUUAAAUUUUGUGUUUGUAUUAAUAGAUAUUGUGAUUGUUUUAAAUAAAUAAUCUGUAGAAUCAA